CAGUCGCCGCGGGAAUACGGAGGGAGCUAGCGUUGUUCGGAAUUACUGGGCGUAAAGCGCGCGUAGGCGGUUACUCAAGUCAGAGGUGAAAGCCCGGGGCUCAACCCCGGAACUGCCUUUGAAACUAGGUGACUAGAAUCUUGGAGAGGUCAGUGGAAUUCCGAGUGUAGAGGUGAAAUUCGUAGAUAUUCGGAAGAACACCAGUGGCGAAGGCGACUGACUGGACAAGUAUUGACGCUGAGGUGCGAAAGCGUGGGGAGCAAACAGGAUUAGAUACCCGCGUAGUCCCUGUCUCUUAUAA
rnacentral:rRNA from 1 species